rnacentral:rRNA from 1 species
AUCGGAGUGCUUGCACUCUGUGAAACAAGAUACAGGCUAGCGGCGGACGGGUGAGUAACACGUGGGUAACCUGCCCAAGAGAUCGGGAUAACACCUGGAAACAGAUGCUAAUACCGGAUAACAACAGAUGAUGCCUAUCAACUGUUUAAAAGAUGGUUCUGCUAUCACUCUUGGAUGGACCUGCGGUGCAUUAGCUAGUUGGUAGGGUAACGGCCUACCAAGGCGAUGAUGCAUAGCCGAGUUGAGAGACUGAUCGGCCACAUUGGGACUGAGACACGGCCCAAACUCCUACGGGAGGCAGCAGUAGGGAAUCUUCCACAAUGGACGCAAGUCUGAUGGAGCAACGCCGCGUGAGUGAAGAAGGGCUUCGGCUCGUAAAGCUCUGUUGUUGGUGAAGAAGGACAGGGGUAGUAACUGACCUUUGUUUGACGGUAAUCAAUUAGAAAGUCACGGCUAACUACGUGCCAGCAGCCGCGGUAAUACGUAGGUGGCAAGCGUUGUCCGGAUUUAUUGGGCGUAAAGCGAGUGCAGGCGGCUCGAUAAGUCUGAUGUGAAAGCCUUCGGCUCAACGGGAGAAUUGCAUCAGAAACUGUCGAGCUUGAGUACAGAAGAGGAGAGUGGAACUCCAUGUGUAGCGGUGAAAUGCGUAGAUAUAUGGAAGAACACCCGUGGCGAAGGCGGCUCUCUGGUCUGUUACUGACGCUGAGGCUCGA